UGGGGAAUUUUGGACAAUGGGGGCAACCCUGAUCCAGCCAUCCCGCGUGUGCGAUGAAGGCCUUCGGGUUGUAAAGCACUUUUGGCAGGGAAGAAACAGCCUGGGCUAAUAUCCCGGGCGACUGACGGUACCUGCAGAAUAAGCACCGGCUAACUACGUGCCAGCAGCCGCGGUAAUACGUAGGGUGCAAGCGUUAAUCGGAAUUACUGGGCGUAAAGCGUGCGCAGGCGGUUCGGAAAGAAAGGUGUGAAAUCCCAGGGCUUAACCUUGGAACUGCACUUUUAACUACCGGGCUAGAGUACGUCAGAGGGGGGUAGAAUUCCACGUGUAGCAGUGAAAUGCGUAGAGAUGUGGAGGAAUACCUAUGGCGAAGGCAGCCCCCUGGGAUGAUACUGACGCUCAUGCACGAAAGCGUGGGGAGCAAACA
rnacentral:rRNA from 1 species